CUGGUAUCGAAUAUGUGACACAUAUUCGUCACUUGUCCGGAUGAUCUUUCAAAUGUGGAGAAAUUUGCUGACUUUCAUGAUCUGCCCAUUCGCCGGUAUCAACUCCUCAACUUCUGCGUGCCCACUGACGUCACAGAUUUAAAAAAAAUGCCGGGAAGAACUAUUUGAUAUCAGAGCGGCGGUAACUCAUCAGCACUACCAGCAUUACGACCAGGAAUACAACUUUCCCGAAUCGGAUCCAUUGUUCGUUUUCCAGAGGCCGAUCCAAAACAGCGCCGGCGGAGGAGAGGUACUCCGCGUGGUCUUCUAAACUGACUUAGCAGACAAUCUUGUUCUCCAGUGCAGCGAUCCUCUUCGACACGCCCUCCAGUGAAAUCGGAGUCAAGGAAACCACAGCAAGGCAGAUGUAACACAGUGCCUGCAGUAAUGCCGCCACAGACGUGGUGUUCCUAAACAAUGGUCUGCGAGAGUGUGCGUCCAGAGAACCUUGCAGCUGGUCAAGAAGUGGAUCAACCAGAUCGUGUCUCCGAGACCAAGGCUCACGUUGGACUGGUCCAGUACUCCAGCUCUGUCAAACAGUCCUGGCUACGUCCAUCGGUGAACACAAUGCCGACCUUGGCCACCCCGGGCCGUGCCCCACCGGCUGGUGCAAAGCUGCUGUCGGUCAGGUAGCGCAGGGCCUGUCCUGUCAUGGUCCCCCUCUCCAUGUAGGCCAUCUUCUUCACUGCGUCCUUUAGGUCUUUCUUGUUGUUGUAACGUCCCAGAGGGAACUCCUGAGACGGGAGGGUGAGGAGGUU